rnacentral:rRNA from 1 species
GAUGAACGCUGGCGGCGUGCUUAACACAUGCAAGUCGAACGAUGAAGCCCAGCUUGCUGGGUGGAUUAGUGGCGAACGGGUGAGUAACACGUGAGUAACCUGCCCUUAACUCUGGGAUAAGCCUGGGAAACUGGGUCUAAUACCGGAUAGGAGCGUCCACCGCAUGGUGGGUGUUGGAAAGAUUUAUCGGUUUUGGAUGGACUCGCGGCCUAUCAGCUUGUUGGUGAGGUAAUGGCUCACCAAGGCGACGACGGGUAGCCGGCCUGAGAGGGUGACCGGCCACACUGGGACUGAGACACGGCCCAGACUCCUACGGGAGGCAGCAGUGGGGAAUAUUGCACAAUGGACGCAAGCCUGAUGCAGCGACGCCGCGUGAGGGAUGACGGCCUUCGGGUUGUAAACCUCUUUCAGUAGGGAAGAAGCGAAAGUGACGGUACCUGCAGAAGAAGCACCGGCUAACUACGUG